UACAGAGGUCUCAAGCGUUGUUCGGAUUCAUUGGGCGUAAAGGGUGCGUAGGCGGCGCGGUAAGUCGGGUGUGAAAUCUCGGAGCUUAACUCCGAAACUGCAUUCGAUACUGCCGUGCUUGAGGACUGGAGAGGAGACUGGAAUUUACGGUGUAGCGGUGAAAUGCGUAGAUAUCGGGAGGAACACCAGUGGCGAAGGCGACUUCCUGGCCUGUUCUUGACGCUGAGGCGGCG
rnacentral:rRNA from 1 species